rnacentral:rRNA from 1 species
GACGAACGCUGGCGGCGUGCCUAAUACAUGCAAGUUGAGCGCUGAAGGUUGGUACUUGUACCAACUGGAUGAGCAGCGCACGGGUGAGUAACGCGUGGGGAAUCUGCCUUUGAGCGGGGGACAACAUUUGGAAACGAAUGCUAAUACCGCAUAAAAUCUUUAAACACAAGUUUUAAGUUUGAAAGAUGCAAUUGCAUCACUCAAAGAUGAUCCCGCGUUGUGUUAGCUAGUUGGUGAGGUAACGGCUCACCAAGGCGAUGAUACAUAGCCGACCUGGGAGGGUGAUCGGCCACAUUGGGACUGAGACACGGCCCAAUCGCCUACGGGAGGCAGCAGUAGGGAAUCUUCGGCAAUGGACGAAAGUCUGACCGAGCAACGCCGCGUGAGUGAAGAAGGUUUUCGGAUCGUAAAACUCUGUUGGUAGAGAAGAACGUUGGUGAGAGUGGAAAGCUCAUCAAGUGACGGUAACUACCCAGAAAGGGACGGCUAACUACGUG